CCUCAAGAUCCUGUCCAUCCUUCAAGUCCUGUGAGCCUCUUCUGGUUGCCAUCAUUUCCUCCUCUCUGCUGCCAGUAGACAGAUGGUGUGUUCUCCACUCCCUUGUAUCUGAAUAUUUGUGUUUUUGUCUGUAUCUCUACGAGAUUGUAAGUUCCUUGAGGAAUAGGGAAGGACCAUAGUUCAUCAAGUCUUAUAUCACCAGAAUGUCUCCAAGAUGGACAUAGACAUGGAUGGGAUCCUGAAAGACAGAAUCCUCAACCCGUCAGUUUAGCCCUACUGGUUUUGAGGUAGAAAUGCAUGGGGAACAUGGCCAGGUAAUAGUACACUAUUGAUUACAACAAGGUGUUGGCCAAACCCCCAUGUGAAAUCCAUAGCGUGGUGAGCUGGCUUCAUUUGUGUGAAUCACAGUUUCUUUGCUUACAGAAAUGCUCAGGGACUCGACUAAAAACUGGCUUCCUUGAUCUUUUUCUCUGAGGCCCACAACCAAGCCUUGACCACACUGUGUGGAGGAGAGCUGUGGCCUGUCUCAUGGACGACUCCGUGGGAGUAUUUUCCCUGGAUCUGGGGCUUUUUCACAUGCUUGGGAAGUCACUGUGUGAGAAGAGCUGAGCACACAGAGCUCUGCACUCCCCUGUGGGGCUGGAAGGGCAGGUGGGAGCCACAGCUGGCUGGGGGCCGUGAGCCUGACUGUGCAGACUCUGCUGUCGGUGAGGGCAUGGAAUCCUGAAGGCAAAGGGUAUUCAAGUGUGUGUGUUUUGGGGUUGGAGAGUGAGAGAAUCAUUAUUGUUACGUGAAUUAUUCUGAAGUCCUAUGUGGGGCGGUGGGUGGGGUUGGUGGGAGAGACUGAAGGAGUGGGGACGGUGCAUAUGGGGCUGAGAUAAGACAGUGGAAGGGGAAUGGGAAGCUAGGGACUGAUGGGAAAGGCAUUAAGAUGAUACAAAGAAGAAGUAAGAGGUGCUUGAUUUGGGGGAGUGGUAGUGCUAUGAGAUGAGAAAAGUCAAGCCUCAUAACGGAACUGGGGAAAUCAGAAAUGGGAGCUCAUUUGGGGGAAAGAAUGUUAAUUUGAAAUAUUCUAGCAUUUUGGAUUUUUAGGGGGUGUUUUGAAAAGGGGCUGGUUGGAACUAUUUCCAGUGCAGAGAUCAUCCUUGCCUAUCAGAGAACUGUAAUUUGGGACAUGUGAAUCUUUUACCCAUCUCUUCGAGACACCUGAAGACAGAGCUAAGCCUUCUGUUUCCAGUGAUCAGGGGCUGGAUGAAGCCAGCCUCAGGAUAAUAAACCAGG
rnacentral:lncRNA from 1 species